AGAAAUCCACGAGCUCACAGCAAAUUCCCUCAAAGUCUGAUGAGGAAUACCCGCUUAGCAGUGAUGCACCUCUUCCCAAAACUCGUCAUUGCCUACAAAGGGGAAAGGGGACGUUCAGAGCGGAGAGUCCGGCAGCACCUGCUUCAUCAAGCGGAGCUGCACGCCUGCUGCCAGAGACACACCGAAGAGAAGAACAGUGUCUUCCUGCAGACGUGUGCCAGCAUCUCCUAGUUAUGAACCAUAAAAAACAAAUGGUCCCUUUAUCGUCAGGAGACAGGGCAGAAAAUCAAUCAGAAAAUGCAAACUCAGUCUUGCAGGAGAAGCUGCUUCAAACUAGAAGUUCCAUGGAAACAUCUCGGUGGCCUUCCUUUGUGAAAUGCACAAAUAUCCACUCUUCAGGGAAUAAAGACUAGCAACAGCCUCAGCCCAGGUCACAUCCGCUUUGCUGUAGUCGAGCUGUGAAAACCUCUCCAGUGUUCAGAGCUGGCUACCUUCAGAACUGCAGACGAGCACCUGCGGACCCAAUCGCCACCCCGACUUGAAAACCCCUGUAUCCCCAAGUGUGUGUCACCUCACUGAUUAAAAAUACAUUAAUGCCUGUCACCACGCAAAGAAUUUGAAAUAAAAUCACAAGGGAUGCCUUUGUUUCCUCCUACUUAACUGAUUUGAUAAACCAUAUAUACUUUAAAAGAUACAGUUGAUCAAGUGGUACAAUCAAAUCUGAAUAUAAA